CGGCCGUCACCUUCUUCCCCAAAUUCCACCGGCUUCUUCAAAUCUGAAAAAUCCUUCGUCUCAUCUCAGAGCCGCCGCCGGAGCCACCACCCUUCGUCUCAUCUUUGCACUGCCGGCAAGGCCACUAUUUUCCCCCAAAUCUGCAAAUUCCACCGCACCACCGCGCCACCCAAAAUCAAGCUCAGAAAUCCACCGCACCAAAUCUGCAACCAAAAUCUCUAACCAAAUCUGCAACCCAAAUCUACAACCAAAAUCCACCAUCUUUGCUCUGCCGGCAAGGCCAUCAUUUCUCCCCAAAUCUGGAACAGAGCUGGGAAUAAACCUCCCUAAUCUGCAACCCUACCACCUCUAUACUGCCGUCGUGCCGCAGCUGCUGUCCGUCGAAGCCAGAGAGGGGAGGGAGAACAGAGGGCAAUCUUGAGGGUGAAAUCGGCGGCUGGCGGCGGUGGUUCGUUGCUGUCGACGACGGUGGCAUCCGCUUGCUGCAGUCGCCGGAAAUGGUGAGAGAGCAGUGGAGGUGGCCUUCGUUUUUGCUCACCGGAAUUUGAAGGGAGAGGGAACAGCGGAGGAUUUAGAGGGAGAAUCGGAGGGGGGUGGUGGCGAGGACGGCGGCGCUGAGGUCGCCAGGGUGACUGCCCACCGCGAGCAGGAGGAGAGAGAGAUGGAGAGAGGGGAUGGGCCGUGAGGAGGCGCGGCUGCCGUCGAUUCCGCCGGACUUGGAGCGGCGGCGGCAGAAGCCGAUGGCCGUCCGGCCAAGAGAGAGAAGGGCGGUGGUUUUGAGGGAGAAAGAGAGAGAUAGAGAGGGAGAGGGGGAUAGCCGUUUGAGAGGAGAGAGAGACACUUAAAUCUAUUAGUUGUAUCUUAAUUAAUGCCAAAAAAGGAAAGGGGACUUGAAUAUUGGGACGGCCCAAAAA
rnacentral:lncRNA from 1 species